UUUAGUUCAGCCCUAAUCAUGAUCUUCUCACCAGCUAUUCUCCUGCUGGUGGCAACAGCAUCCUGUGGUGUUUACUGUGUUGAGCUCACUCAACCUUCAUCUAUGGUCGUGAAACCUCAAGAAUCAUUUUCCAUCUCCUGCAUGAUUUCAGAAUCAAGCUACUGCAUUAACUGGAUCCGUCAAUCUGCUGGAGGACUCUUGGAAUGGCUUGGAUAUCUCUGUAGUGGUGGAAGCACUAACAUUAAAGAUUCAGUGAAAAACAAGAUCAGUUUCACCCAGGACACAUCCAAAAACACAGUGUUUCUGCAGGGACGUAAUUUUCAGAUUGAAGACACAGCUGUGUAUUACUGUGCCAGAGAGACACAGUGA